UAGGGAAUCUUCCACAAUGGACGCAAGUCUGAUGGAGCAACGCCGCGUGAGUGAAGAAGGUCUUCGGAUCGUAAAACUCUGUUGUUAGAGAAGAACACGAGUGAGAGUAACUGUUCAUUCGAUGACGGUAUCUAACCAGCAAGGGACGGCUAACUACGUGCCCG
rnacentral:rRNA from 1 species